ensembl:lncRNA
GGGGCCCUGGAGCAUCUGAAGUUUGAAUAGAAGAGCUGUCACCAAAGCCAGGCGAUCAGGGCGAGGGAAAAAGGCCCUGAUGGAGAAUGACGAGGACAACGGCCCUGGGUCUCCAGCUGCUCUUGGGAGGGUAGCAGGUCCUUGCCAGCACCCCCAGACCACAAACCAGUAAGUGCCCCCCUGUCGAAGUGACAGUUUCGCUCUGCUGCACUUUGAGGAAUGAAGAGGAAGGGCCACCCUCCAUGGGGGACGAAGGGCCAGCGGAGGGCAGCGCCUCCCUGCCGCAGGACAGCACGCUGUCACAGCAGCGGCCCUGAGGACAGCAGUGCCCAGGGAGCGGAUCUCCACAGGGCCAUCACUCCGAGAGCACGGCCCGCUCCAAGGGGACACUCACAGCAGCUGGCAGGCACUCUUGAGGGGUGCCAGUUUCCAACAACAAGGGCCCCGGGGGUGGAGGGGUGGGGCUUGACACUGUAAUUUCAUCUUUAAGAGAAACAGAACAUCAAACAGCAACACCUCAUGCCAGGAAGACUGGGUCGCUGACAUUGGCAUGAAUUGCUGCUGGUGGGAAAACAGUAGAGGUACUUUGGGGAACACCCUGGACCCUGGACUUUCUCGAUCUGAAAGCCCUUUGCUGUCCAUGACCGGUCUUUCCCUGACGGGGCCGUUGGCUGAGCCGGGGCAACGUUUAUCUUCUGUGAUAAACAAGGAGACUAAGCUGGAGAGGCUGAGAAACGCUCCCCCAGCAACAGGACCUGGCCCUACUCACCGGCCCACAGACACGGAGAAGGGGGCACGGCGACGGUGUCCUGGGCCACCGCUGCUCUGGCCUGGCACCCACUUUCUGGUCGCUUCCCCACCAGGGGGUGCAGGGCCCCGGUCGAGCUGGAUGAAAGAGGACUCCCGGCCUCGGUCUGCCAGCUUUUUGGAAAGCUAAAGAGCUCCUAAGAAAACCUGUCAUUAGCCGUCAUUCGACACGUUGGGCAAAACCCGCAACCAAGCACUUGGAAGGGUGGCUUUAGGAACACUCACCAGACCUCCUUUCUCAUUCUCAUACCCGGCAACCGCGUGGCCCGUCUCAGGGAGCCACCAUCACGUUGGUCUAUCUCUGCACAGCUGCUCAAGUACGGGUUCCAUCCCAGGAAGCCUGAGGAAGCAGGAAGUCAUCUUAGCUGAGGAAACAGACACUCUGAGCAUCCAUUCCCUGUAACCUGCUUCGUUUCCUAGGCCUUCGUACAAAAUCAAUGCCAAGGUUAAAAAAAUCUAACCAUGGGUUGGGAACAAGGCCUGGAUAUUAUUCCAAGCUCUGGCACAGGCAUGCAGUUUGUCCCUGGGCAAAUUCCUUAGCCUGUCUCUGCCUCAGUCUCAUCAUUCACAGAAUGCUGGGUAAGGAAGGGUACUUCCUUCUCGUUAUUAUGAAAGACAAGCUGUGCUUACGUCCUUCUGCAAAAUGGGACGCCGCUUUCCUAGGAAGGGUACCAGUCAAUACCAGGGUAUGUAUCUUAAAGAGAUAAUCAGAUUAAAAGCAGCAUGGAAUAUACAAAGAAAAAUGAUUGAAUUUCCUAGUGGACCAGGCAUAUUGCUGCCCUUUGGGUCCAAACGAAAAAGUAUAUCUUGAAUUACUGAAAUUUUCUCUUUUUUAAAUUUUUUUUACUUUAUUUUUUGUCUUUUUGCCAUUUCUUGGGCCGCUCCCGUGGCAUAUGGAGG